ACUGCCAGCUCAGCUCGUAGGAUUUAUUUAUUUUUUCUUCUGCAGAGAGAAACGCAGUUGACCUCCCAAGGAAACAAAAGGGAAGAAUUUCCUGGCCAAUUGUCUGGGGGGAAUAACAGGAACUGAGCUAGUAACGGCCCAAACAAACAGCGCUCAGUGGUGAGGAGUGGCCUUCGGGACAGGACCAGGAGGGAAUGGGACCUCAGCAUCAUCUCUCCCUGUCCCCAGCCGCCACCACUGCAACUCUGCUGUCCCUGCCCGGGGCUCUGGGGCCCAUGGAGGACUGGGGCUGACUCCCAUGAUAACAGCAGCGUCUGCUAUAGACCUUGAACUUGAAAGGUACAUGGGGCAAGGAAUUAAAAGGCUUAGGCUGAGAGCCAGAGACACCAAGGCUGGAGGCCCUGUGACACCCUGGACAGGUCACAGCACCUGUGAUCUCUGAUCCUGCCCGCUGGAUCCCACAAAGAUGGGGUGAUGACUUGAAGGCUCCCCAACAACGACCUCUGCGAAGGGCUCUGCCGAAGGUGAAGUGAUGGGCGGACACGGUGGGGCAGGGCCGCUCCUCCCCGCGGCAACAUCACUCACCCCCGCGCAGCUCGCCAGCCCCAGAGGCAGGUCCUACUGUUCUUCCCACUUCCCAGCUGGAGGACCUGGUGCAGUCUCUAUGGUGAUGUCACGGACCACACCUGGGCGCAAGCCAGGACAGUGACGGCUGGGAGGCCCGCCCCGCAGCGUCUGGUUCCUGAGGCUGGCCCAGCCUCCCAGAGUAGCCUCGGCUGUCACCAAAAGCCUCCCCAAGCUGAGUGUCCUCUCUGCGAGGAUGGGUGUUUCCUCCGUUGGAUUCAUUGCUGUGUCCUCGGUGCUCGGAACGGUGCCUGGCACAGAGCAGGUGCCUAACGAACAUCUGUGGACUGAGUACGUGAACGACCAUCACUGCCCUCACCCCACAGCCAACCCACCGGAGUCGGCUGGCACCUAGGCAGCCGCUGUGGAUGGGAUGAGAUGUGACUGGGGGUGGGGGGGGUGGGUCACACUGCACACAGCCUGGCCCAUCGCUGUCAUGACCUGCCCAGCCCAGAUUUUUCUUGCUCACGUCCUGUCCCAUGCCCGUAGUACUCAGCAAGCACCUGCUAGGUCACCACCCUCCGCAGGCUGGAGAGGCCCCCACCUGGCCUCAGCCCGGCAGAGUCCCAGCUCAAACCAGUCGUGUCCAGGACAGCCCAAGCCAACCACCUGCACCCAGGUCACAUCAGGCCACGGGGAUCCCCCUGUUUAAACCGGAUGCUGAGUGCAAAUGUUCUGUGAACCCUGAAGCGUCUGGCUUUGGGUUCUUGUCCAUGAAGAGCUCACCGGGACCCCGAGGCUCACCCGUGGUGGGGGUGGGGGAGCCCUGCCGAACCCCAGGCCUCACGGCGGGGGGACCUGUCCCUGAGCACAGCUCACAGGCCGGGGGCCACCCCAAGACCUGCCUACCUGGACGUGCACCUGAGCCCAGCAUGUGGCAAGCGCAGGGAAAAUGUAAAAGGCAAGUGCCACCGAGGUCCGCCGGGAGGUGGGUCUCACUGCAGAGAGGACAAGACAGCGGAGCCCUGACUCCCUGGCUGCUCUGGCACCAACACCGAACCUCCUCAGGUUACAGUUUAAGCUCAGAAGGAAACGGGGUGGGGAGGGAGGGCUGGGCGUGACUCUGUGCAGUGGGAGCCCCGGGAAGGUGGGACAGUCAGCUCGGGCGGGUGGCCCCCGCCCCGGGACUGUAUUGCCAAGUGCUGGCUGGCCUGGCCGGGUUUAGGCUCAGGCAGACCGGACCCCUGGGAGCAGGUAUGUGCCCCCAGCAACCCCACAGGCAAAAUCUACAGGACAAGUGAAAAGAGUGUUUUUUCCAAAUAAAACCAAU